CCAGACUCCUACGGGAGGCAGCAGUGGGGAAUAUUGCACAAUGGGGGAAACCCUGAUGCAGCAACGCCGCGUGAGUGAGGAAGUAUUUCGGUAUGUAAAGCUCUAUCAGCAGGGAAUAGAAAAGAAGGUACCUGAAAAAGAAGCCCCGGCUAACUACGUGCCAGCAGCCGCGGUAAUACGUAGGGGGCAAGCGUUAUCCGGAUUUACUGGGUGUAAAGGGAGCGUAGACGGAAAGGCAAGUCAGAAGUGAAAACCACGGGCUCAACCUGUGGCCUGCAUUUGAAACUGUUUUUCUUGAGUGCUGGAGAGGCAAUCGGAAUUCCGUGUGUAGCGGUGAAAUGCGUAGAUAUACGGAGGAACACCAGUGGCGAAGGCGGAUUGCUGGACAGUAACUGACGCUGAGGCGCGAAAGCGUGGGGAGCAAACAGGAUUAGAUACCCCAGUA
rnacentral:rRNA from 1 species